rnacentral:rRNA from 1 species
CCUACGGGAGGCAGCAGUGAGGAAUAUUGGUCAAUGGGCGGAAGCCUGAACCAGCCAAGUAGCGUGCAGGAUGACGGCCCUACGGGUUGUAAACUGCUUUUAUACGGGAAUAACGCGCCUUACGUGUAGGGCUUUGCAUGUACCGUAUGAAUAAGGACCGGCUAAUUCCGUGCCCGCAGCCGCGGUACUACGGAGGGUCCGGGCGUUAGCCGGAUUUAUUGGGUUUACAGGGAGCGUAGGCCGCAUGUCAAGCGUGCUGUGAAAUGUCCGGGCUCAACCCGGGACUUGCAGCGCGAACUGGCGUGCUUGAGUCCGCGGAAAGCAGGCGGAAUUCGUCGUGUAGCGGUGAAAUGCUUAGAUAUGACGAAGAACCCCGAGUGCGAAGGCAGCUUGCUGCAGCGGAACUGACGCUGAUGCUCGAAAGCGCGGGUAUCGAACAGGAUUAGAUACCCUAGUAGUC